rnacentral:lncRNA from 1 species
GACCACCUCUGCACCCGUGCCCUCAACUCCCAGCCUUUCAUAGCCUCUGGCUCCAGAAAGCCUUGGGUCAAAGUCUGGAAUGUAAACGUGAGCCGCAGCCCAGGCCUCACUACCUGGCCAUAUUCCAUGAGCCUGGAGACUCAGGCAGAGGAGACCUGGUGGCUAGAAAACCCCAGUGCUAGAGGGAAUACUCACCCAGCGAGGACUCAUCACUCACACGCCCACAGGGACUAGGACAGUGGCUUAGGGGGUGGCAUGCAGUCUCUUUCAUACUGGAGAGCGUGUGCCUAAUCAGCUCAAAGGAAGUGUUUUUAUAUACCCCCCUACUCAAAGCACUGGCCCUGAAAGGCAGGACUGAAGACUGGAGACUUUGUGAUCUGGAUUCCCAAUCACCAGUGUCUGCUCUGUAAUGUAUUAGGGGAUAGGGAGGCUUUUAUUUUUUUUUACAAACCAAUAAAAUCAGCCCAGCGUGGAAGAGAGCAGUGCCCAUCUGCUUUGCUUCUGUGAUGGAGGUGGGGUGAGAGUCCUGGGUCUGACCAGGGGGGAGGAACCCAGAACAGGCAAGAGAUGACCGUUGUUCUCUUUGCCUGGUGUUGUCCCCUUGCGGGAAGCUGCUCCCCAUCAUCAUCGGCCCCAGGUUUCCUACAGGAUUGGCCAUAUUGACUCUCCCCAGGUGGGGAUCACCUGACCCAGGCUGAGCCAAUCUCUGAUUUGUGCAAAGAAUUUGGAAUCAGAACCAAAAGACUUCAGCUGAGGCUGGCUGUCUUCGCAUCUAGAGGCCAGGAGCUAUUGACUGCUGGGCUUUCUGCUACUGGUUGGAAUGGUGGACAGAGCCAGGGGCUGCAAGGAAGAGGAAGGGACAGAGGAGAGCAGCAAGCCCUUGAGCUGUAGAAGCCUCAGGCCCUCACACCUGAACCCUCUCGACUCCAGCUCGGCUCUUUCCCUAUGGAUUUUAGUCACCUUGAGUCCCCAGCACCCAGCCUGCUCCUGGCCAAUCAUGCAGAACAGGUUGUGGAGUGAAUCAAUGAGGAAAGCAGAGGAACGGAACUUGUCCAAGGUCACUCUGAGGUCAGUAACAGAGCUGAGACCAGAGCCCGGGUCUCUACUCCCUGUGUGCAGGGCCCUGCCCACCUCACCAGGUGACACCUUGGCCUGA